AUCGCUUCUCGGCCUUUUGGCUAAGAUCAAAUGUAGGAUCUGUUCUUAUCAGUUUAAUAUCUGAUACGUCCUCCAAUGUGAGGACUAUAUAUUAAAUGGAUUUUUAGCACUGGGAGCUGAAAGAGGGGUUUGCUCCUUUCACUCCACGCAUCGACCUGGUACUGCAGUGCUGCCAGGAAUGGUGCAUCCUUC
ensembl:snRNA U2 U2 spliceosomal RNA